rnacentral:rRNA from 1 species
UACGUAGGGUGCAAGCGUUAUCCGGAAUUAUUGGGCGUAAAGAGUGUGUAGGCGGUUUUAUUAGUCUCGCGUUAAAUCUUCUGGCUCAACCAGUAGGCUGCGUGGGAAACGGUAAAACUUUGAGGAUGGUAGAGGUGUCUGGAACUCAUGGUGUAGCGGUGAAAUGCGUUGAUAUCAUGGGGAACACCAAAAGCGAAGGCAAGACACUGGGCCACUCCUGACGCUCGAGCACGAAAGCGUGGGUCGCGAAAUGGG